GACGAACGCUGGCGGCGUGCUUAACACAUGCAAGUCGAACGGAAAGGCCCUGCUUUUGUGGGGUGCUCGAGUGGCGAACGGGUGAGUAACACGUGAGUAACCUGCCCUUGACUUUGGGAUAACUUCAGGAAACUGGGGCUAAUACCGGAUAGGAGCUCCUGCUGCAUGGUGGGGGUUGGAAAGUUUCGGCGGUUGGGGAUGGACUCGCGGCUUAUCAGCUUGUUGGUGGGGUAGUGGCUUACCAAGGCUUUGACGGGUAGCCGGCCUGAGAGGGUGACCGGCCACAUUGGGAAUGGGAUACGGCCCAGACUCCUACGGGGGGCAGCAGUGGGGAAUUUUGCCCAAGGGGCGGAGGCCUGAUGCAGCAACGCCGGGGGGGGGAUGACGGCCUUGGGGUUGUAAACCCUUUUCCCCUGGGACGAAGCGUGAGGGAGGGUAAUGGGUAAAGAAACACCGGCUAACUACGG
rnacentral:rRNA from 1 species